CUAGGUACCUUUUAGAUCAUGCCAGCAGGAAGAACCUGCCUACCUGUGGGACAGUUAGAGUACAACAUAGUAGAAUACUUCACAAAUUGCAUCCCUCCAAUGCGGUUUGCCAGCUCUAUUUAGACAAGCCAUAAGCCCCACCUUUCAGAUCCUUCUUUCUCCAAUCCAUUAAUGCUUCAGUUUAGCUGGUGGUUUGUUUAAUGUCUGGUUUUCUUUUCCUUAUAGUACCUCUUCAUCCUUGCUCCUCUUCAUCAGAUUUUGAGACUCACCUCUCUAGAUCAGAUACAUCUUUUGGUUAACUUUAUUGUUCAUUCAAGAUCAAAUUGAUGUUGAUGUGGUGGCUUUCUCUUUACAGUUAGUAGCUUUUCCUUUUUUAUUCCCUUUUUAGGUCAUCUAAUCCCUUUUUAUUGGCUACAAGACCAAAGGAUUUCCAGUUGAGACCGACUGGCUAAGCAGCAGUUCUGCAGAAAAGGACCUGGGGAUUACAGUGGACGAGAAGCUGGAUAUGAGUCAGCAGUGUGCCCUCGUUGCGAAGAAGGCCAACAGCAUAUUGGGCUGUAUUAGAAGGAGCAUUGCCAGCAGAUCGAAGGAAGUGAUUAUUCCCCUCUAUUUGACACUGGUCCCAAAUGAUUUCUGUAGAAACCAACGUGGCAAGAGCUAGAAAACCAGGCCCCUGGAGUAGAUGGGGUUACUUCGUGGACUCAGCUCUGCACUCUCCAUUGUGUGCUGUGACUUUUUAAGCCCUGCCACUUGGUGCUAGGGACUCGCUCAUGGGGAAACCAAGGUCAGUGGCUGGUUCCCAGAGGCAGUUUUAACGGGGCAUGGCUGUUCCUUCAUGUGAUCCAGAGGCUGAUCUGAUCUGUCCUCUGGCAGGUGAUCUCCUCCGUCAUUCCCAAUGAUGAAUACAUCGGAUUUAAGCCUCUCAGGCCACAGAGACAGGGCUUUUUACGAACCCAGUGUCAACGCUGUGCGGGCUUCAAAAUGGAUUCCUUGAGGACCUGCUCCAUGAUUUUGCCAGGGACUGAAGUGAGACUUCAAAAACAGACUCCAACGAGAGACUGCUGAAUUGGAAUUAAUUUGCAAACUGGAUACAAUUAACUUAGGCUUGAAAAAAGACUGGGAGUGGAUGGGUCAUUACACAAAGUAAAACUAUUUCCCCAUGUUUAUUCCCCCGCUCGCCCCCUCCCCCACUGUUCCUCAGAUGUUCUUGUCAACUGCUAGAAAUGGCCCACCUUGAUUAUCACUACAAAAGAUUCCCCCCCCGCCCCCCGCUGUCCUGCUGGUAAUAGCUCACCUUACCUGAUCACUCUCAUUACAGUGUGUAUGGUAACACCCAUUGUUUCAUGUUCUCUGUGUAUAUAAAUCUCCCCACUGUAUUUUCCACUGAAUGCAUCCGAUGAAGUGAGCUGUAGCUCACGAAAGCUUAUGCUCAAAUAAAUUUGUU